UGGGAUACCACUUGGAAACAGGUGCUAAUACCGGAUAACAACAAUAGCUGCAUGGCUAUUGCUUAAAAGGCGGCGAAAGCUGUCGCUAAAGGAUGGACCCGCGGUGCAUUAGCUAGUUGGUAAGGUAAUGGCUUACCAAGGCGACGAUGCAUAGCCGAGUUGAGAGACUGAUCGGCCACAUUGGGACUGAGACACGGCCCAAACUCCUACGGGAGGCAGCAGUAGGGAAUCUUCCACAAUGGGCGAAAGCCUGAUGGAGCAACGCCGCGUGAGUGAAGAAGGUUUUCGGAUCGUAAAGCUCUGUUGUUGGUGAAGAAGGAUAGAGGUAGUAACUGGCCCCUAUUUGACGGUAAUCAACCAGAAAGUCACGGCUAACUACGUGCCAGCAGCCGCGGUAAUACGUAGGUGGCAAGCGUUGUCCGGAUUUAUUGGGCGUAAAGCGAGCGCAGGCGGAAAGAUAAGUCUGAUGUGAAAGCCCCCGGCUUAACCGAGGAAUUGCAUCGGAAACUGUGUUUCUUGAGUGCAGAAGAGGAGAGUGGAACUCCAUGUGUAGCGGUGGAAUGCGUAGAUAUAUGGAAGAACACCAGUGGCGAAGGCGGCUCUCUGGUCUGUAACUGACGCUGAGGCUCGAAAGCAUGGGUAGCGAACAGGAUUAGAUACCCUGGUAGUCCAUGCCGUAAACG
rnacentral:rRNA from 1 species